rnacentral:lncRNA from 1 species
UUUAUUUAUUUUUGAAAUGGGGCUAGAUAGGGAAAUAAAAAAUAAAAGGGUGUUAGAUAGGGAAAUAAAAACAAAAGAAUGCUAGAUAGAGAAAUAAAAACAAAAGGGUGUUAGAUGGGAAAAUAAAAGUGUAAAUGGUGUUAGAUAGAGAAUUUACCCAUAUUUUGCUUACUUUAUUCAAAUUUAUUUUACUAUUACUAAAAAUUGAAUCACGCUUUUAAAGUUUUAAAAACAUAAUAAUAAUUUAAUUAUUUUUAUUAAUUAGAAAUAUAAUUAUUAUCAAUAAAAUAUUGAAUUAUUAAUUUACGUAUACUAUAAUUUAUAAUUAAUAUAUGGUGAUAGUUUUAUAAAAUUAAGGACGUCAACUUUUACACACGAAAGGAUCACGUUGUAUUUUUAAAAAUUUGAGGGACUUGAUUGAAUAUAUUGUAAGAGUUAUAUUGUUGCACUGAUAAAUUAAAGAACUUGAUUAAAAAUUUUAUUAACAGAUAAUUAAAUUGAGUAAGUAAAUAAAUAAGUAAACAAACCAUUAUAUUUUACAUUUCUCUCUUAUAGAUUUGUAUGGUAUCUUAGAUAGUUAAAGAUUUGGAUCUUUAUGUUUUCAUUAUAAAGAUUUUGAGGAUUUUAUUUUAUUAAUUUUAUUUUUUUAGGAAAUGAUAUACAUAAAGUUAAGAGAAUAUUUUACAGAGUAUUACAAAUGACAAGAAUAAAGUUUUUAGUGAUAAAAAUAAAGAAUGUAAUUAACUAAUAAAUUUAAGACACAGAAUUUUCAAAUGAUUUAACUAAAUAACCAUGAGUUUAAUUGAAAUAUAUUUAUAUUAUUAAACUUCUAACCUUAAUUGCGUAAAAAAUAUUGAAAAAGAUAAGUCUUAGAUCGUAGUUUCUUUUGUACUUUCCAAACAGAAAAAAUAAAUUGUUGAAAAAUACUUAACUCGAGUAAUGUAUAGACUUAUGGAAAUUGCUUAUUGGAGAUUGAGAAAUAACAAAAUCCCGAAAAUGAUUCUCAAUAAAAAAUUAUCAUUUAGAAGCUUCAAACAACAAAAUACAUAUAUGACCUCAAAAAUCCUAAAAUGAUUAUUAUUUUAAUAUAUAAGAAUGUGUUUAUGAUUUUUUUUUAUCAACACUAUAUAUCCUCUUUUAGUUAGAUGUAUAUCUAUAAAGACUUUAGGAUAUAUGAAAUUAUUUUAAAGUUUUUAAUUAGAGAAUUUUUAGGUUUUUGCGUAAAGAUUUAAAACAAUAUGAUGGAUUCAACUUAAAAGAGAGUAUUAGUACACAAUGGUUUUACAAAACAAGGUAUGAGUACACAUGUUUUAACUACCAAUUAUUUAAUUUUUAAAUUUAGUCUCCAAAAUCUUUGUUGUUAAUUAGAUACCAAUUUAGAAAUUAUUUAACAAUGAUAGAAACUAAUUUAGACACCAUUUUUUUUUAGUUUCUAAAAUGGUCUCUAAUUUAGUUACUAUUGCAAUUAAUUAUUUUGAUUUCUAAAAAUAGGUUUAUAUUUCAUGAUUUUCUUGUAGUGUAUACUUUAUUCUACUUUUAUGUUAUAAUUUAAUAUUUUAAAUUUUAAAACACCAUUUUCGCCUCAGUUUUUAAAUUUGAAUAAAUUUAAAAUAGUAGUAAUUUUAUAUUCGAAGAUAAGAUUUUAAACUAUUUUUUAAUUGAUUCAUGAUGUGAAAUUUGUUCUAUUAGAUUAAUUUACAUGAAAAUACAUAAUCCAAUUUAUAUUAAGACAAUGAAUAGUGGUAAUUAUAUAAAAAUCACAUGAAAAUGCAUGCUCGAUAUUCUUAAUGAGCAGUGAUGAGUUGAGAUGAUUUGUUUAUCAGAGAAUGAUGGGUUUAAAUGGCCCACCAAUUUACAAGAGUUAUGGCUGAGAGGCAAUAGUUUGAGCAACGAAUUUGUUUCAUCUUUGAGUGGUCUUUCACGUCUCCAAUCCCUUGAUUUAAGUUACAAUCAAUUAGAAGGAGCAAUAAAUAUAAGUGGUCAGUAUUUUUAUGUAUUUUUUCCGCUUUAUUAUAAUAUUUUAGAAUUAAGAUUAAUUAUUCAUUUAGUUUGAAUAAUUGUACAAAUUUUAUCUUAUAGUUUAUAUUUUUAAAAUGUGAUGAAUAUAUGUUUUGUAUUUAGAAAUUAUGCAUACAAUUUUAUUUCUUAAACUAUUAUAGUUAAAAGAUAUAGAGAUUUACGUUUAUUAGUACAUUUAAGAUAUAUCUAUUAAUUUAAUUUAUGAGAUGAAAAGUGAAUAAAUAACCAAUUGUUUAUUAAAUUUUUUAAUUUUUAAAAAAUAAAAACAAGCAAUUAUUUCUUUUAAAAUAAAUUUAAUAAAUAAUUGAUUUUUUAUUUUCUUUUCAUCUCAUAAUUAAUAAAUAUAUCUUAAAUGUACUAAAUAAACGUAAAUCUCCUAUAUCUUUUGACUAUACUAGUUUAAGAAAUAACUGUAUACAUAAUUUCUAUAUACAAAACCUAAAACAAGAAAAUGUAAUAUAUUUCUAUGUAUAAAGUUUUCAUGUUCUGAGCUUACACUAAGAAUCCAACUCAACAUUAAAUAAGUGAAUUAGUUAAUUUUGUUUACCUCUAUUUCAACCUCUAAGAAAAGAUUUCACAACUAAAUUAAGUUAGACCUAGAAAAAUUAAAUUGAGUAAGUAAAUAAAUAAAAAAACAAAAACCUUUAUAUUUUACAUUUGUCUCUUAUAGAUUUGUAUGGUAUCUUAGAUAGUCAAAGACUUGGAUCUUUAUGUUUUCAUUAUAAAGAUUUUGAGGAUUUUAUUUUAUAUUUUUAGGAAAUGAUUUAUCUAAAGUUAAGAGAAUAUUUUACAGAGUAUUACAAAUGACAAGAAUAAAGUUUUUAGUGAUAAAAAUAAAGAAUGUAAUUAACUAAUAUAUUUAAGACACAGAAUUUUCAAAUGAUUUAACUAAAUAACCAUGAGUUUAAUUAAAAUAUAUUUAUAUUAUUAAACUUCUAACCUUAAUUGCGUAAAAAAUAUUGAAAAAGAUAAUCUUAGAUCGUAGUUUCUUUUGUACUUUCCAAACAGAAAAAAAAAAUUGUUGAAAAAUACUUAACUCGAGUAAUGUAGAGACUUAUUGGAGAUUGAGAAAUAAGAAAAUGAUUCUCAAUAAAAAAUUACCAUUUAGAAGCUUCAAACAACAAAACACAUAUAUGACCUCAAAAAUCCUAAAAUAGUUAUUAUUUUUAUACAUAAAAAUGUGUUUAUGAUUUUUUUUAUCAACACUAUCUCCCCUCUUUUAGGUAGAUGUAUAUUUAUAAAGACUUUAGGAUAUAUGAAAUUAUUUAAAAGUUCCGAGGCUAAAAAUUUAUUUAGAGAAUUUUUAGGUUUUUGCGUAAAGAUUUAAAACAAUAUGAUGGAUUCAAUU